UCACCACAGACGACGAAACUCCAGGAAUAGGAUGGAGUCUAGAACUUGGUCGGCCCACAUCGUCCUGACGACAGAAAUGCCGCGUCCUACUCUCGAUGCCGCGCCUCUUCUGCACCCAGCCAAUUCAAGUGGAUAGCUUCUUCUCAAUCUCAACCCAAACUUAAGUCCUUGGGAGUGAAUAAAUAGAACAACAAUUUUAUGUUAUGGUUGUGAUGCCGGUUUCGUUCGCCCCAGGACUUCGAGAUUUCAACGUCUGUUAUGUUUAAACUGCCUGGUGGCAUAUUCUAUUAAUUUCUAGAACCUACCAUGCAUUUAUUUCACCGAAAAAAUCUUACGUUCCCAAGCAAAGUUGUUGACGAGUAUUUUCUGCAGGAACUCAGAACAGUGCAGUGUUCGAGGCUGUUACGAAUAAGUUUCUCAUGCAGAGUCGUUUAAUUUAUAUUAGAGAGUCCCAAAAUUAGUCACACAUUUUCCGGUAGAACAGCCUGCCAUCUAGUGAGGUAUUUUAGAAGCAGUUAACUAGAUGUUGUCUCGUGUUACCGACAUAUAGUCAAUAUUUUAGGCCGUCUUCGUUGUCUAGGGCCAGUGAAGUUUCGGUGUUUAGAGAUUGAUAGACUUUAUUUAGAGCCUCACUGUGCAAAUGUUGUUGGAUAGACACAUGGAUGAACUCCUUGUCAACCAGCUUUCCAGGCUAGAAAUGUGUCCAGGAAUCACUUUAGCCAAAUUCAUUUUGAGAAUCAAAACGUAAUCAUAUGUUGAUUAUUAAACAUAGAACCUUGACCCAACAGCCAAAUCGUUGCAGGCCGCGCUACAGUGUAAGUGUUUUGUAAGCCAAAGAAAUAUUUAGUCAUAGCUUUAAGAAGAACGAGGGUAGCAGGCCCGUCUGUCAAGUAAGCUACUCUAUUCCCAGUGCCAUAUAUUUCUCGAUGACUUCUUGAUGUUGUGCCCAAAUGUUAUUCUUACGAAGAGGCGACUUGGUAAACUGCAUUUAUGGUUCAUAAGUGUUAGGUAUAUAACUCUAGAGUGCUUUACUUAUUUUCAUCGGAAAAUAAUGAGAAGUGCUUGUUAUUAUUUAAUCAAGCGUUGGCUACUAACAUGUUACGGUCUGGACGCUUUGGUGUCAUCCUCACUACGAAGUUAUUUACGUGAAGGAUUGAAGCCAGGCGUUAAAAGAAUGGAAAUUACCGCCGUUUAUUAUUGUUUUUGUUACGAAACAGUACGAGCGAGAAUUUAUUUAUAGAUUUGUGUCGCCAGUUGUAAAUAGAAUUAUAAUUUUUCAGAUGUUUAGGCAUCGUUCAGAAAGUUGUUGUUUAAUUUUUUUUGUAGUGCCAUGUUCUUGUCAUAUUAUAAAUAGUGAUAUUCAAGUCGUACGAUGCUUUUUAAUGGUGAUCAACUUUUUCCGCUGUUAAAGCUCAACUUU